UACGUAGGUCGCAAGCGUUGUCCGGAUUUACUGGGCGUAAAGAGCGCGCAGGCGGCUGGUCAAGUCCGAUGUGAAAUCUCCCGGCUCAACUGGGAAACUGCAUCGGAAACUGAUCGGCUUGAAGAUGGGAGAGGGUAGUGGAAUUCCCGGUGUAGUGGUGAAAUGCGUAGAUAUCGUAAGGAAGACCAGUGGCGAAGGCGGGUCUCUGGACAGUUCCUGACGCUGAGGCACGAAGGUCAGGGGAGCAAACGGG
rnacentral:rRNA from 1 species